rnacentral:rRNA from 1 species
GACGAACGCUGGCGGCGUGCUUAACACAUGCAAGUCGAACGGUAAGGCCCUUCGGGGUACACGAGUGGCGAACGGGUGAGUAACACGUGGGUGAUCUGCCCUGCACUUCGGGAUAAGCCUGGGAAACUGGGUCUAAUACCGGAUAGGACCACUGCCUGCAUGGGUGGCGGUGGAAAGCUUUUGCGGUGUGGGAUGGACCCGCGGCCUAUCAGCUUGUAGGUGGGGUGAUGGCCUACCAAGGCGACGACGGGUAGCCGGCCUGAGAGGGUGACCGGCCACACUGGGACUGAGAUACGGCCCAGACUCCUACGGGAGGCAGCAGUGGGUAAGAUUGCACAAUGGGCGCAAGCCUGAUGCAGCGACGCCGCGUGAGGGAUGACGGCCUUCGGGUUGUAAACCUCUUUCAGCACCGACGAAGCGCAAGUGACGGUAGGUGCAGAAGAAGGACCGGCCAACUACGUGCCAGCAGCCGCCGUAA